CGGGCGAUGUGCGGCUGCGUGCCUUGUGGUGCCACGAGGGAGGGGGAGGGGAGGACCAGCGAGGUGCGGUCCCCCUCCUCCCUGCGACCUCCGGUCCUGACCUCCAGCACCCGACCAGGACGCCCCUGCACUUCCUGGGCCCUUUCUCGGGUUCUCACUCUGGGCCUAGGCCCCGCCCAAAGGACAAAGGGAGCCGGAGGAGACCUCCUGGUGUUUCGGCAAAGCCAGCCCCCUCCGGAUUAUUCCCUUGCUCCCAAAGCAGAGUGACCUUUGCCUCAUAACCUUUGACUUCUGGCUUCUGAGACUCAUUUUUUCUGAUAGAAGUUCCCUUCCUGAUGGGUGCUGGUCCCUGAGUCUCCCUUUUGUCAAAUGGUUCCUGGAUGGACACCGCCUCCUGGGAGCCUUCCCUGACCGCCCCAGGCAGGGCAGCUCCAGCACUGCCACCCUGUGUGAAGAGGAUCCAUUCACCCAUCUGCCUCCCUGACGUGACCAGAGUGGUGAAUAUCUCUCACUAGUCCAGUGUUGCACAGGCCGUAUUGAGUUGGUGCUCAAUAAAUGCUUAUUGUGUUCA